rnacentral:rRNA from 1 species
UGGGGAAUUUUGCACAAUGGGGGCAACCCUGAUGCAGCGACGCCGCGUGAUUUAGAAGGCCUUCGGGUUGUAAAAAUCUUUUGUAUGGGAAGAAAAUGACAGUACCAUACGAAUAAGGACCGGCUAAUUACGUGCCAGCAGCCGCGGUAAUACGUAAGGUCCGAGCGUUGUCCGGAAUCAUUGGGCGUAAAGGGUACGUAGGCGGAUAAGCAAGUUAGAAGUGAAAUCCUAUAGCUCAACUAUAGUAAGCUUUUAAAACUGCUCAUCUUGAGGUAUGGAAGGGAAAGUGGAAUUCCUAGGGUAGCGGUGAAAUGCGCAGAUAUUAGGAGGAAUACCGGUGGCGAAGGCGACUUUCUGGCCAUAAACUGACGCUGAGGUACGAAAGCGUGGGUAGCAAACAGG